CCCACUAAAGAGGAGCAGUUUAUUGAGGCAGAUUUUGAUAAAGAGAAUGGGUGCCAUACAUCAGACCUCACAUUAAAUCAGGGAUGAAUCGAGAGAUGUCGUCCUCUGUUGCUGGUCUAUCUGUAUGAAUAAGAGGAAGAGCUCAUCCAGGAGUGCAAUUGUGGGAAUGCACAGAGAAUUGCUGUCUGUCAGAGGGAUGACCAACCAUGAGGACUUCUGCAUUGUCUUGGAGGAUAAGUGAGUCAUGGCUAGCCUGGAAAAUCUAGAAUCGCUGAACUGGAUUUAUACAAAUAUUCCACAAAUUAAAAUCACUUACAAAGAAACGAAUAUUAAGUUUGCAAUACACAAAUUCUGUCAAAUAUUGUCUAAAAUGUGACUAUUCCUACAAAGGAAAGUUGACAGGUCAGUUUUUUCCAUGACAUGGAUAAAGGAAUUUUUAUCAGAGAUUAACAUUGCUGUAAAUUUUAUAUAGAUUUGUUUAACAUAUUGUACCAUUUUGUUAUCAGUGUAACAUGUAAUAAAA